rnacentral:sRNA from 1 species
CUGCGGCCUCGAUGUCCUUCUCCCGUGCCCUAUUGUGGGCUCGGCUCCCGGCGGGGCGCCAGGCUGGCCACCGGGCAGCCAUCUGCUCUGCCCUUCGCCCCCACUUUGGGCCCUUUCCCGGGGUUCUGGGGCAAGUUUCUGUCCUUGCCACCGCCUCCUCCUCUGCCUCCGGUGGCUCCAAAAUACCAAACACGUCCUUGUUCGUGCCCCUGACUGUGAAACCUCAGGGCCCCAGAGCCGAUGGCGACGUCGGGGCCGAGCUAACCCGGCCUCUGGACAAGACUAUUCCAAUUCACCUGAAAAUGUAAAUGUCUUUGCUGCUUCCUGUAAGAAGACAGAAUAAAGACAUGGGUUUGUCAGCACUAGAUUUUCUUCUGGUGGAGAAUCCUUAGAUACUUCAUUGGGUCUGUGUGCCAGAUGAAGUAAAGAAGGUCUUAGACAAAUUUUACAAGAGGAAAGAAAUUCAGAAACUGAGUGCUGAUUAUGGACUUGAUGCUCGUCUCUUCCACCAAGCUUUCAUAAGCUUUAGAAAUUAUAUUAUGCAGUCUCAUUCCCUGGAUGUGGACAUUCACAUUGUUUUGAAUGAUAUUUGCUUCGGUGCAGCUCAUGAGGAUGAUUUAUUUCCAUUUUUCUUGAGACAUGCCAAACAAAUAUUUCCUGUGUUGGACUGUAAGGAUGAUCUACGUAAAAUCAGUGACUUAAGAAUACCACCUAACUGGUACCCAGAUGCUAGAGCCAUGCAGCGGAAGAUAAUAUUUCAUUCAGGCCCCACAAACAGUGGAAAGACUUAUCACGCAAUCCAGAAAUACUUCUCAGCAAAGUCUGGAGUGUAUUGUGGCCCUCUAAAAUUACUGGCACAUGAGAUCUUCGAAAAGAGUAAUGCUGCUGGUGUGCCAUGUGACUUGGUGACAGGUGAAGAGCGUGUGAUAGUUCAGCCAAAUGGGAAACAGGCUUCACAUGUUUCUUGUACAGUUGAGAUGUGCAGUGUUACAACUCCUUAUGAAGUGGCAGUAAUUGAUGAAAUU